GACUGGCUUCAGGAAACAAAUGAAAUUAAUUGAUAUUCUUAAAAAGCAGAAGAUGCAUAUCGAAGCUUCAAAAAUGUUAACUUUUACAGAAGAAGAGUUUGUAAAAGCAAUGGAAUGGGAGACAUAAGUAGUUGCAAGAAAUCAUAUUUAGAGAACAUAAAAGCGAAAGAAAGAAAGAAAGAAAGGAAGGAAGGAAGAAAAAGAAAGGAAAAAAAGAAAGAAAAAAACCUCAUGUCAUUAUGUCAUUAUACCAUUAUGCUGUCAUACUAUUGUGCUAGUUUACCAUUUUCCAUUAAACCAUUAUGGAACCAUGGCGUUAUAGCAAAAAGAGCCUGAACUAUGGGGUGGGAUUCUGUCUAGGAUCUAUUUUUUUAUAGAAAAUAUAAAAGUGAGAUGAAUGUGAGAA